GCGUCUGGUUGGCUCGAGCGAGUAAUAGAAAAGGUAUCGGGAGGACGGGCAAAACCUAGCGACCAAACAUUCCUAUCCUCGCAGCCGCCGCCUCUGGCCUCCAUCCCCGUCGCCGCGCAUCCUCGCCUCCUCCACCCUCCCCUCCCCUGUCCCGUCCCCAAUCCCCUUCGUCCUUGCGCCGGCGCCGGCCCCUUCCCCAUCCCGCGCUUUCUCCUCUCCCACCAUGGCACCACCAAACAGGACUGCCUAGAGGCCAGCGGGAGGCACGCAUCCUCCUCCCGUCCAUCUCUCGUCCCCGUUCAUGCCGCCAACUCCCCUGGCGGCGCGGAGAAGAAGCAGCAAGGGGGGCGUUCCUCCGCCUCUUCUAGGCGGUGCGGUGGAGCUGAAGGGGACGGGCCAUCCAUGGCAACGACGCAGCAUCGCAAGAGAAUGAAGGGGCCAUCCAUGGAGCGACGAAGCUGGGCAACAGUAUAACGGCCUGCCUUCCUCCGGCUCUUCUUCAGGUCUCUCUCUCUCUCUCUCUCUCUCUCUCUCAGGACCCCCUUCUUGUGGCAGCUCGUGAAGAAGGCGAACAAUGGUAUCUCUCCGUGUAACAGGCCGCCCGUUUGAGUUGGCGGAGGUUUGGGUGGAGUCCAGUUUCCUGCUCCUCUGCCACUUCCUCCACCGGGCACAGAUCCGAAUUUUCUUUGAUUGAAUUCUGAUGCCUGUCAGCUAUUAGAUUCAGUUUUUUUUUUAAAUUGUGUAGCUGUAGAGCUGUAGUAAAUAUUAAUUCCGAUUCGACAUUCAGACUUUUGUGGUUGCUGAUUGUGCUAUGUAUUCACUAUUUCACUUAUUACUUGAAUCGGUUCUGGUUGGAGACGAGGAACUGCACCUGGUCGCAAUGCGGAGCAAGGUGGAGAAUGUGCCAUGCUUCUGGUGCUGCUCUUUACGUGUUGGGCUGUACGCGUCAUCAAUUGGGAUGCUCAACCUCCGGUGCCUCGCUAUUGUGUUUGAUCUUGACCUAUUGUGUUUGAUCUUGAUGAGACCAUCAUCAUUGCCAACACGAUGAGGUCCUUCGAGAGCUGCAUCGAGAGCCUCUCCCGCAGGAUGGAUGUUGAAGAUGACCCUGGCAGGGUAGAUGGGAUGUCUGCGGAAAUCAAGCGCUACAUUGAGGACAUGGAGCUUCUCAAGGAGUUCAUUGACACGGAUACCAUUACAAACAAUGGCAAGAUCCUUGGGACCCAGAAGGAGGAGGUUCAGCCUAUUGGUACCCAGCAGUGUCUUUUGCGGACUGUAAAUCCGGCUACCGGAGAGGAAUGCAAUUCUAACCCGCGUCAAUCCAGAGGGAGGGUUACACUUUAUCCCGAAUACAGGAUUAUAAUUGUUUUAACCUAUCCCCUGGCUAGGGAAAAUGAUAUAUAAAUGGGCUCCGGUUUGUCUGGUACAACAAGGCAUGUCUGUGGGGUUGCCUCCGUUGAUGAUCUGGCAUUAAAGUGCAAUCUUGGAAGAUUGGUGGUGGAUGCAGGCCUAACAUAAAAACAUAAUUUAUAACUUUUCAAAUGAUGAUGUACAAGCACAUUGUAAGAUGACUAUUUAGAUUGCUUUUGGAAGCAGUGGAGGGACACAUUGUAACCACAAGGAUUGAUUGUAAACAAUAGACGAAAGCAAAUCGUCCCCCACAUGUAGGUGAGUACCAUCACAUGGAAGUAAUCAGGAGGUUGAGAAGAAGUAACAUGUAGUGAGGUAGAACUCAAAAGAUUCUGGCAGGCAGUGGCGACGCGUCAUGGAGGCCAACCUGGGUGGCGGCCCAGUCUUCUAAAAGUGAAAAUCAUUUUUAUCAGCUUAUCUCAUUCACUGAUCUGGUGUCCCCGGCUGUGCGUGGAGUUUCGACAUGAGCAGACAUCCCCGGCUAUGAUGCACCACGACUUGAAGCACAGUUGCACACUUCACAAGCCAUCGACUCUGAAGACCAAUUGAAAUGUAACAAACCAUAAACAUCAGAUGCAGUGGAGAUAUCAAACAGAUCAAGUAUUUUUUAUCCCAGAAAGCUACUCAGAUAUCAGCUGAUUAGAGUAAACACCAAGGGCAUGAAAGAGGGCUGCAAAUGGUGGAAAUAUCCGAGGAUCUACGGGUGGUGAUAUUCUCCGUGUCGCUCAACAACUAUGACCAACUGGGAGUCUCUGCAAGUGGUGGCAGUCGGCGUUUUUAGAAUAAGAUGAUCCAAAGCAGGGACUUGUUUGAGGCCACAAUCAGGAUGGCAGUGAAAGAACUAUAAUUGAAGCAUUGAACAUGGCCACAUUGAAUUUACUGAAUAUUUAUGUUCCAAUUGCAGCGAGCAGAUCCGAUAAAAAAAGAAGCAUCUCAGAUUGACAUCCAUAAAGUUCAGACAUUUCAGGUUCAUAUAUAUUUUUAUAUAUUUGGUUUGAUACUCCAUUGUAUCCCAUAUAAACCUUUCUGGCAUCUCAGCUGUCUUAUUUUGAAUGGACUCCAAAAUUGCUGAGACCUUAGAAAUGACUUUCCUGCGUGGUGCUCCACUUACUCAGCAUGGAGGAGCCACUGUCCACUAGAGGACCUAGCCUCAAAGUGGUAAGGUCAUAAACAUUAGAAAAAUACUGAGGUGGCAAGAUGCUGAAAAACGAUCAUGUGUUCUCCAUAAAGGUUUGAUAUAAAAAUGAGACCAUUCUACGCUUCAAUUUACACUGCGAUUAAGGAGAUGUUGGACUCCUAGGUUACAAAUGAUGUGCGUUGACCAUGAGAUUUGAGAUAAAAAUGAGACCAUUCUACGCUUCAAUUUACACUGCGAUUAAGGAGAUGUUGGACUCCUAGGUUACAAAUGACGUGUGUUGACCUUGAGGUUUAAGCCAUGGAUAUCGUUGAUAUUCCAUCCAAGUUCAUGAUGAAGGCGACACUCACCAUCUGCAGCUUCCAAAUCCAUUAACAACACUAUAGCCACCAAGGCCAAGUGACAUUUUUUAUUUGUUUGACAUUUUUUAAUAAAUUAAAAGAUAGAUGUAGUACUAUUGAUGUUUUACACAGUGUUUCAUCCAGCAGAUAGUUCUUCUAUUUGAUGUUUUAUUACCAUCGAUUUCUACAUAUGCUUAAUAUAGUGUUCUACAAACUGUUUUUUGGGUCUAGAAGCCAAUGUUAGCCCCAAAAUAUUUAUCCAUUUCUUCUAUUUUCUCGAUUAUAUCUAAGUGUUUGCUACUCCAUUUA